rnacentral:rRNA from 1 species
UACGAAGGGUGCAAACGUUGCUCGGAAUCAUUGGGCGUAAAGCGCACGUAGGCGGCCUGUUAAGUCGGAUGUGAAAUCCCUCGGCUCAACCGAGGACGUGCAUUCGAAACUGGCAGCUCGAGUAUGGAAGAGGGUCGCGGAAUUCCCGGUGUAGAGGUGAAAUUCGUAGAUAUCGGGAGGAACACCAGUGGCGAAGGCGGCGACCUGGGCCAAUACUGACGCUGAGGCGCGAAAGCUAGGGGAGCGAACAG